rnacentral:lncRNA from 1 species
AUCCCAUCAUUGAUUCUAAUUUGGAUAUUAUUAUAAGGAUAUAUAUAUACAGAACUAGGCUGGAAUACUAUCAAUAAUACUAAGUUAUUUGUGCUAUUAGUAUUUUAGCCCUUAGAUUAAGAAAUGUACGGUUAUGAUGAUAUGGCCCACAUAGGGUUGAGUGGGUGGUUGGCUGAAUAGUAUAAUCUAACGAGUAAAAAUAAUCGAAAGAGUUAAUCUAACGGUAGAAACUUGAUAGCACAAAGUGUUUGGGGUGCGUUUGGUUCGCGCUAUCUUUCAAAGAUUCCUAGUAAUCCAAUAGGAAUAAAAAAAUAUGACGGUGUUUGGCUAAACGCACUAAGUAAUCUAGUUGGUAAUAUUGGAUUCACUUGAGAAUAAGAUUCACCCCAAAGUACUAAUCUCAUUCUCUUGAGGGAGGAUGGCUAUCCUCAUAUUAAUGGAUUUUGGUAAUUAUAAUAUGUCUAAUCUCUUUCUUUCUCCCUACCCGCCGGCUAAUUGAUAUUAUUUUUCUUUACACUCUAAUCUCAUAUCUCUCUCUAAACUUAUCUUUCUCUCUAAAAUUUAACUUUUUUUUUCUCUCUCUAAACUAAGCUUUUCUCUCUCUUUCUAAAAUCUCAACUCUCUUACUCCCUCUAAUUUCGACUCUAUAUCUUUUUCUAUUUUUUUAAUUAUGUUCUCUCUCUCUCUAAAUUAUGCUCUCUCCUUCUUUUUUCUAAAAAGAUGUUGAAACUUUUAAUAGCAUUAUCUAAAAUUAAUUAAAAAAUAAAUAAAUUAAUUGUAUAUUUUUUGUAAUAUUAAAUAACAUGGCUAAAUAAUAUUACCGUACGAACCAAACAUAGGAAUUCCACAUUCUUAGUAAUAGAAUGAAUAGGAAUAAGAUUCUCGGACAUCUUUUCAUUCUUAGUAAUCUUUCAUAAUGCGAACCAAACGCACCCUUGGUGCUAUUGAUAGCAUAGCAGCUGGACUAUAUAUAUAUAUAUAUAUAUAUAUAUAUAUAUAUAAUUGUUUCGGGUUCAAAUUUUUGGAUUCGGGUUCAGAUUCGGGUUUCAGAUUUUUAGUCAGGUUCGGAUUUGGAUACGGAUUUUUAAAAUCUGUCGAGUUCAGAUUUGGGUUCGGAUCUUGGGUUUGGAGUCGGGUUCGGGUUCGGAUUUUUGAAAAUUCGCCCUGAAUCCGACCCGUUGACAUCUCUACACACAAGCUAGUUGAGUGGCUAAAAUUAAUACUAACAGACUGUUUUACCCUUUUGUAAUUUUGAUUUUACUAAAUAUUAUUUAUCAUUUCUAAUUUUGUUUGAUUCGAAAUUUCGUGUAAACUAUCAAUUAUAAAUUUUUUAAAAAAACUUGAAAAAUAAUUUUUAUAAGCAAAAAUCGUGAGUAGGUGGAGGCAUAAUACAUGCAUGCCUAUAGGCUAUAGCAUAGUUAUAGGUGAAGCAUUGGAGUCUCCCUCUCCAUCGUUGGAGAAGAAGUCCAAAAUUUUCAUGGCCUCCCUAAUUUUCUUGGUGUUGAUGAUGUUCACGAGAGUGGUAGGAAUUUUCCCAAAAUUAAUACCGGAAGAAAGGUAAUUAUUAUUAUUAUUUUUUAUUUAAAAUAAACAAAAAUUAAUUUAAUUUGUAAAUAAUUUGAACAGUAUUUUGAGGUUUCGGGUCUAGCAAAAAAGCUAUUAUGCAGACUCCUGUAGCUUAUGAAAAAUAGCUAUUACAGUGAUAGGUAUAAGUAUGGGGAUAAGAAAAAUAGCGUUUGGAUGAAAAUUGGAUUGUUUCCGGAGAUAAGAAAAAUAACGUUUGGAUAGAUAAUAUGGAAUAAAAAAAAUUGGGUUGUUUCCGGACACAAGCCUCGACCCAAAUUACUUGAGGGAAGA